rnacentral:rRNA from 1 species
UACGUAGGGGGCAAGCGUUGUCCGGAUUUAUUGGGCGUAAAGAGCGUGUAGGCGGCCAUACAGGUCAGCUGUGAAAACUCGAGGCUCAACCUCGAGACGUCGGUUGAAACCGUAUGGCUAGAGUCCGGAAGAGGUGAGUGGAAUUCCCAGUGUAGCGGUGAAAUGCGUAGAUAUUGGGAGGAACACCAGUGGCGAAGGCGGCUCACUGGACCGGAACUGACGCUGAGGCGCGAAAGCGUGGGGAGCAAACGGG